UUAUGCUCUAUGGUGUAAUUUAUAUAUGUUUCUUGGUUGAAACUCUUUUUCACUAAUUAUUUGUUUUCUGUUACAUAGUUACAAUGAAAAUGGUAUACCUAAGUGGAGUGUUCACUUUGGGGGACGGACACCAGUCAACUCAAUUACCUUGAAGACAUGGAGCUGUCUAAGCAAAAGUGGAUGCAUCAUUGAAGAAAUUAAGGGAAAGUUUGAUUCAUCAACUUACGAGCAGUUACUUGACAAACAUGUUUGUUUGAGUAACAUAGCUUGUGAUAUUCAGCCACGAUUUUUCCUACAAGAUAAUUUCCCAGUUCAUUUAGCUCCUCGUAUUGAUCAUUGGUUUUCUAAAAACAAAUCAUUCAUUCUUCUUCGCUUACCCAAAAAUUCCCCUGAUCUCAUGCCACUUUGCCUGUUGCAUGUGUGUUAGUGUCUGAACUAAACAAGCAAGAAGUUGUCUUUUCACUGAACUUUCCUAUUGAUUUGAACCGAUGUUUACAAUCAGUAUGUCAAUCCCACGUUGAAAGUUUACUUCUUGAAAUACCAACCACCCUGAAGUAUAUUGUUGAACACAAUGAAGAGUUAAGAAAGAUGUGAAGUUUCAGGAAAUAAAAAGGAAAUUUUAAUUUCAGUUA